rnacentral:sRNA from 1 species
CUUUAGACGGGAUUGAAGUGGUAUCCUUUUUUGUUUAGGUUUUUUCGGUUUUAAUUCACACUUUAACAAAAAAAAAUUAACGUAAAGCCCGACUAGCC